UACGUAGGAUGCAAGCGUUGUUCGGAAUUACUGGGCGUAAAGAGUACGUAGGCGGCAAUGUAAGUCUGAUAUUAAAGACUGGGGCUUAACCUCAGGAGUGUAUCGGAAACUACAUAGCUAGAGGACAGUAGAGGAAGUCGGAAUUCUCAGUGUAGCGGUGAAAAUGCGUAGAUAUUGGGAAGAACACCGGUGGCGAAAGCGGACUUCUGGGCUGUUACUGACGCUGAGGUACGAAAGCGUGGGGAGCAAACAGG
rnacentral:rRNA from 1 species